rnacentral:rRNA from 1 species
UGGGGAAUCUUGGGCAAUGGGGGAAACCCUGACCCAGCCAUCCCGCGUGUGCGAUGAAGGCUUUCGGGCUGUAAAGCACUUUUGGCAGGGAAGAAACGGCAUGGGGUAAUACAUGGAGAAACUGACCGGAAGUGCAGAAUAAGCACAGGCCUAACACGGGCCAGCAACCGCGGGAAUACGGAGGGUGGCAGGGUUAAUCGGAAAUACUGGGCGGAAAGCGAGCGCAGGCGGGUCGGAUAGAAAGAUGUGGAAAACGAGGGCUCAACUCUGGUACGGCGCUUUUAACUACCAGGCUAGAGUGUGGGAGAGGAAAGGGGAAUUCCGCGUGUAGCAGUGAAAUGCGUAGAUAUGGGGAGGAACACCGGUGGCGAAGGCGGCCUCCUGGGAUAACUCUGACGCUGAUACACGAAAGCGUGGGGAGCAAACAGG